GUUGCACCGCAACAUCGUCGAAAUAUCUUGAGCCGUAACCUUUCAUAAAAAAAUUGCAAUAAAUCAAAGAUUGAUGAUCACAUUAACUUGCUUUGAGCUGGAGUGGAUCUAGAGGGGGGCAAUGGGGUAGUUCUCCCCAUCCCUCCCACCCCCUUAUAUAUAAAGUGUUUGAAUAGCUUAGUUUGUUGACCCUUCCUACUGUAUAUUUUUGGUUGUCUUGGAUUAUACCCUAGUAUAUUUUGUCAUAGGCAUUUUUGAAUUCAUUGGAUUAAAAAUUUCUGGAUCCGAUAAUAAUGGGUACCUGAAAGCUGCCAUCGCCUAUACAUGCAAUCACCCUUUUGCUGGGCACAGAUUGUGCAUAUCCCAAAGUGGCACCAACUGACCAUCCAAUUGAACCAUACUGCAUCUGAAACUCAUACCUGCAAAGCCCAUUUUUAAGGAAUCUCCAGUCUCAGCAAUGACUGCAGUAUCAGCGGAAAGCAUCUUCUGGAUGUGCUGGAACAUGAUAUUGACCCUAAGAGGGUCAGUGAGCAAGGAUUUGAGAGGACAGCCUUGAGAAAUAUAGAUACGGGAAUAGUUCUCAUGAGCAGUGGUGUUUUUCUUAAUCUUUUUUGCUAGCUCCCUGAGGAAAUCUUUCAUGAGCACGCACCCGAAAGCGUGACCGUUCCCAAUCACAACUCUGUCAGGCUGCACGAUGAUGGCCUUCUCCUUCUUGAGGAGGAGGGAGUAACCAACAGAGCUGUAGUCAUUAAAGAUUGGUCCGGCAAACAAAUAAGCGUCUGCAGAUUCGACAAUUUCUCCACAGAAGGCAGUGCUCACUGCACCCCAGUAUGUGCCGAUGAAACGAGGGUGCUCUUCUGGGACUAGCCCUUUGCCUGAAGGCAUCACUGCUAUAGCAUACCCACUAGCAUCAGCCAGCUCGACGAAAGCCUCGCAUGCCUUGGCAGCUCUCAGCUUUGGCCCUCCCACCAUCACUGGCUUCACCGCCUUGUUCAGGAACGUGGCUGCCGCCUCCACAGCCGCCUCUGUCCCCAACUUAUUGCUCAAUCUGUAAUAUCAUCACCACAAAUACUAAGUACUGAACUAAUGAAGUACUCACUUUAUCUGGCCUAAAAUGUAAACAUGCAUUUAUUCAAUUAUUUGAUGGUAAAUGUUAGAACCAACCAACCUGGGUGAAAUGGAAAAUGGAAUGGGCUCCCUGCUGAAAGCUGGAUGAGGAAUGCCAGCAAGGUUGCAACUUAUACUCACAUACACAGGUUUGCUUUCUUUGAGAGCUGUGGAGAUUGCUGUAUCAAUUUGUUCAUGCGCAUCAUCCAAGUUAUUGAUCAAAGCCUGAUGAUCAACGUAUAUAUAGUACCCAAAUCAAAGUUGGUUUAUAUAUGUGAUGGAGUUAAUCUACUUCUCAUCUAUGAUUUGCUAGAUUGUAUUGUUCGUCCCUAAGUUAUAUGAUAAUUAUAUAAUUUGUUUCUUAA